AGGUCUUUGAGGAAGUCGGCGGCCUCGGCGCCGCCUGUGGUGCGGGGGUUGAGGCGGUGGAUCUCGUCCACGAGGACCAG
rnacentral:tRNA from 1 species